rnacentral:rRNA from 1 species
UGGGGAAUAUUGGACAAUGGGGGCAACCCUGAUCCAGCGACGCCGCGUGUGUGAAGAAGGCCUGCGGGUUGUAAAGCACUUUUAGUGGGGAUGAAAAGCCGAGGGCUAAUACUCUUCGGUCUUGACCUAACCCAAAGAAAAAGCACCGGCUAACUCUGUGCCAGCAGCCGCGGUAAUACAGAGGGUGCAAGCGUUAAUCGGAAUUACUGGGCGUAAAGCGAGCGUAGUCGGUUAUUUAAGUCGGAUGUGAAAUCCCCGGGCUCAACCUGGGAAUUGCAUUCGAUACUGGAUAGCUAGAGUUCGGCAGAGGGAAGCGGAAUUUCCGGUGUAGCGGUGAAAUGCGUAGAUAUCGGAAGGAACAUCAGUGGCGAAAGCGGCUUCCUGGACCAGAACUGACGAUCAGGCUCGAAAGCGUGGGGAGCAAACAGG